UGUCAUUGUUUUAUAGAUACCAUAGUGAGAAAGGAUUCAUUUCGCAGCACCUACGGCUUCCACUAGAUGUCAACGAUCUUUAUAAAGUUGUUUGAAGCGUCUAUGAUAAACAGAGAGCAAAUUAGAAUCCAAGGAAGUUGACAUGUCAUCACUUCAUUUUUUUGCGCCUGCGCAUAAAUCUGAGAAACGUGAGUUUGUCAUCAUUUUUUAUCUAGACAUAGGAUAGGUUGUGUGAAAAUAUUACUGAUGUUUAACGUUAAAAAUGGACCAAAAGAUUAAUGCUAAACAACAUUUGACAUGUUUGAACGAACAUAAAUGGAUUAUUUACUCGUUUUUUUUUGCUUUUCGGCGUGAUUUUACACUCCCCACACCACGUUUUGUGGGAGCAUAAUGAACGCUAAGUACUUGGUGUUAUUUGGACAUAAAUUAUGAACUUUGUCAAAAGAAACCACAUUUGUUCCGGACCUGGGAUGCCUUCCGGACCUGGGAUGCCUGCCUUCUGAUGGAGAUAAUCAAAGAAUGAUCUGAGUGCAGUUAUAGAGGGUAAAAGACCAUACCAACAAGACAUGCUAACCUCCCCUGUUAUUGUAAUGUUGAAAGGUUAGCAUGUAACUUUCUGAAUCAUCAAUGUUCACAAUUCAUUCCUCUUAAGGAUAGGCCCCUUUUUUUCAAUUUUCGCCUAAAAUGACAUACCCAAAUCUAACUGCCUGUCGCUCAGGCCCUGAAGCAAGGAUAUGCAUAUUCUUGGUACCAUUUGAAAGGAAACACUUUGACGUUUGUGGAAAUGUGAAAGGAAUGUAGGAGAAUAUAACACAUUAGAUUUGGUAAAAAAUAAUACAAAGAAAAAAACAAACUUUUUUGUACCAUCAUCUUUGAAAUGCAAGAGAAGGCCAUAAUGUAUUAUUCCAGCCCAGGUGCAAUUUAGAUGUUGGCCACUAGAUGGCAGCAGAGUAUGUGCAAAGUUUUAGACUAAUCAAAUGAACCAUUGUAAUUCUGUUCAAAAUUUUGUAUCAAGACUGCCUAAUUUGUUUAUAAAUAACUUUUCAUGUUCAAAACUGUGCACUCUCCUCAAACAAUAGCAUGGUAUUAUUUCACUGUAAUAGCUACUGUAAAUUGGACAGUGCAGUUAAAUUGACAAGAUUUUAAGCUUUCUGCCAAUAUCAGAUAUGUCUAUGUCCUGGCAAAUUUCCUUGUUACUUACAACCUCAUGCUAAUCACAUUAGCCUAUGUUAGCUCAACCGUCCCGCAGGGGACCCACCAAUCAAUUAAUCAUGGUACCAUCCACAUGAAUGUAGAAGUGUUUAGAAACAUUUUGAUGGGGAUUUUUUUAUUAUGUUACUUACGGGUUAACAUGUCUCCUCCCCUUCAUCUACACUCAUUGAAGUGGAUUUAACAAGUGACAUCAAUAAGGGAUCAUAGCUUUCACCUAGAAUCACCUGGUCAGUCUAUCAUGGAAAGAGCAGGUGUUCUUAAUGUUUUGUACACUCAGUGUAGGUUAGUGUAUAUUCAUUUAGUAGCAUUUAGAUAACUGGUCAGUAGUUCAAUCAGAUUUCAACCAAAAUAAGAUGUAUUUUUCAUGAUGUCAAAAAGACGUUAUGAAAAAUACAACUUAUUCUUGUUGUGAUCUGGUUAUAAGACGUCCCGACCAGAUUUUAACCAUUGAAAGACGUCUUUAUCAUGUCGUAUGCCCACUGGGAGACGUUGAACUGACUUCUGUGUCCAGUGGGUGAUCAUUUCUGAACGUGAAAUAAAGUGCUACCUGUCAUGAGGCCUACAACGUG
rnacentral:lncRNA from 1 species